AUGUACAGAGCAUCAAAAGCAGGAGGUGCAGAAUCUGUUCCCUGUCAGGAACAGGGCUGUCCCUCAGAACAUGGCGCCGCCUCCUCUGUGGUGACAUCACUGACCACUGUGAAGUCACAAAGGGCCCUCAGCACAGAGGCAGUUUGUCCCCACGCCUUAGCCACUCUCGGACCUGACAGCGUAGCUGUUGGAGAGGGUUUGGCUCACUCCUUAGCGAGCUGUUGGAGAGGGUUUGGCUCACUCCUUAGCGAGCUGCGAUUUUCACUCCUUUGCGAUCCUGUGCUUCACUGAAAUGGAGCAAGCGAGGUGAAGGCGAGCGUGGGGACUGGCAACCUUUGGUUUGGGAAACAGUUUCCCUGGUGCUCUUCACCGUGGUUGUGGUGCCCUUCGGUGAGUCUCUGUAGAGCUCUGACUAGAGGAUGCUUCUUUAGGAAGCCCCCAGUGGUUUGUUCUGCCCAGGGACAGGGGAGUGGGCAGCCCAAGGCAGAACGCCAAGUCUUUGUGCCGGCAAUGUAUUGAGAGCUUUGUGGAAUUCCUGACAGGCGUUUACUGCAUUGGAAACGCUGUGAAGGGGUCAGGACGGCGGCAGGACUGACUCCAAGGUAAAAAAACAAAACAGUCUCCCCUUUGGCUAGACCGUUCUUGAGAGGAGCUCUGCCCCCUUGUCCGUGACCACUUCUUACCCGAGUCACACUUCCAUGGCACAGUGCCUGUGCUUCUCCCAUUUCCCAUUCUCCUCUCCCAGCUUUUCCUUCAAACCGCUACAGCUCCACGAUCCCCCAGAGUUACCCAGGAAGCACCUUCUUGGUUGGAUCUCGUGAGCUUGCCAACCAGCGUAGUCAAGUCUCAACUGAUCUUGGCUACCCCGUUGUCAUGGAUGCAUUA
rnacentral:lncRNA from 1 species